UACGAAGGGGGCUAGCGUUGCUCGGAAUCACUGGGCGUAAAGGGUGCGUAGGCGGGUCUUUAAGUCAGGGGUGAAAUCCUGGAGCUCAACUCCAGAACUGCCUUUGAUACUGAAGAUCUUGAGUUCGGGAGAGGUGAGUGGAACUGCGAGUGUAGAGGUGAAAUUCGUAGAUAUUCGCAAGAACACCAGUGGCGAAGGCGGCUCACUGGCCCGAUACUGACGCUGAGGUGCGAAAGCCAGGGGAGCGAACGGG
rnacentral:rRNA from 1 species